rnacentral:rRNA from 1 species
UUUAUUGGAGAGUUUGAUCCUGGCUCAGGACGAACGCUGGCGGCGUGCCUAAUACAUGCAAGUCGAGCGGACAGAUGGGAGCUUGCUCCCUGAUGUUAGCGG